rnacentral:rRNA from 1 species
UACAGAGGGUGCGAGCGUUAAUCGGAAUUACUGGGCGUAAAGCGUGCGUAGACGGUCAAGUAAGUCGGGUGUGAAAGCCCCGGGCUCAACCUGGGAAUUGCAUUCGAGACUGCGUGGCUAGGGUGCGGAAGAGGGAAGCGGAAUUUCCGGUGUAGCGGUGAAAUGCGUAGAGAUGUGGAGGAAUACCGAUGGCGAAGGCAGCCCCCUGGGAUAACACUGACGCUCAUGCACGAAAGCGUGGGGAGCAAACAGG